GUCAAAGGUGAAAGGCAAGGCUAACGAAGCUAACGCGAAGAGUGAGGAGACAUCCACUGGUGUACUUAACGAAAAUUUUCGUUUUAGAUUAAAGUGUGGAUGAAACGAAAGUUGUGUGUACACGGUGCAGCGAUGAACUGUUUUUUCCACCGAAGCACAACGAGUCUGAAGUACGACCUCCGAGCAAAGCAAGUCUUUGUCGAUGUUAGCAAAGAUGCUAGCACCGAGUCUGGACGUAGCCGCGCUCCGUCAAACUUCACUGGGAGAGUUCAGCCAGGACCACAACAACUAAGCUAACUGGAUACGGAGACAACAGAUCGCAUCAGGCCCAUUUGUCACCACAAGAAAAGCUUCUCCGCAGCCCGUGGAACCCCCCUCUUCUUCUUUAAUAACCUGGGUUCGCAUGAGACGUCAUUCAUGUUCAGAAAAGUGCUCGGGCGGGCUGGAAGAGACUCACGGCGGAGCAUGCAGCAGCACACCGACACCGUCUCUUCCCUCCGCAUCCCGGCCCCAACCAAGACCCAGACAUCAAAGGCAGGUGGAGUGAAACCAUGAAAUUACAGCCAGUUGACAGCUCAUGUGGGAAAAAAAUCCAACCACAGCUUUGGGUUACACAACACACACACACCCACUGAGCCACAGACAUCGCUAGCCUGGUCCAGCUCAGACGCUGCAGAACACCCACAACGCUUCCCCGCCCCUGGCCUGCCUUCCUCUGCCAGGUGGCCCGCACCGAGCCCGAGCUCUGAGGUAGAUGGAGGAAGGUAAAAGAUGACCUGAGAGGAGGGAAACUCUGCUUUACAAAGAAUCUAUUUAUAUGAAUGUGAAUCUGAGAAUGUAGAAUGUGUCAGAGCUUAAGAGGCCAUAAAUACGAUAUGGUUUUAUCCCAAAAACCCUGGAGCAUGAGACAAUACUCACGUCAUUCAUAGAAAGCAAACCCUGCACAUGCUAGUCCUCACACUGAGAAUAUUCACAUAAAUGUUAUUUUCAGUUGUUUCAUGUCAUAAGUACUUGUCUUUAAAAUUCAC